rnacentral:rRNA from 1 species
ACGCUGGCGGCAGGCCUAACACAUGCAAGUCGAGCGGUAGAGAGAAGCUUGCUUCUCUUGAGAGCGGCGGACGGGUGAGUAAUGCCUAGGAAUCUGCCUGGUAGUGGGGGAUAACGUUCGGAAACGGACGCUAAUACCGCAUACGUCCUACGGGGGAAAGCAGGGGACCUUCGGGCCUUGCGCUAUCAGAUGAGCCUAGGUCGGAUUAGCUAGUUGGUGGGGUAAUGGCUCACCAAGGCGACGAUCCGUAACUGGUCUGAGAGGAUGAUCAGUCACACUGGAACUGAGACACGGUCCAGACUCCUACGGGAGGCAGCAGUGGGGAAUAUUGGACAAUGGGCGAAAGCCUGAUCCAGCCAUGCCGCGUGUGUGAAGAAGGUCUUCGGAUUGUAAAGCACUUUAAGUUGGGAGGAAGGGCAGUUGCCUAAUACGUAACUGUUUUGACGUUACCGACAGAAUAAGCACCGGCUAACUCUGUGCCAGCAGCCGCGGUAAUACAGAGGGUGCAAGCGUUAAUCGGAAUUACUGGGCGUAAAGCGCGCGUAGGUGGUUUGUUAAGUUGGAUGUGAAAUCCCCGGGCUCAACCUGGGAACUGCAUUCAAAACUGACUGACUAGAGUAUGGUAGAGGGUGGUGGAAUUUCCUGUGUAGCGGUGAAAUGCGUAGAUAUAGGAAGGAACACCAGUGGCGAAGGCGACCACCUGGACUGAUACUGACACUGAGGUGCGAAAGCGUGGGGAGCAAAC